GCCGAGGUAGCUCAGUGGUAGNNAGGACUGAAAAUCCUUGCGUCGGCGGUUCAAUUCCGCCCCUCGGCACCA
rnacentral:tRNA from 1 species